AUGGUGUUUGAUGUGAACUUGACGAGGAUUGAACCUCUCCUUCACUACCAUCAGAGAUAGGAAAGCUAUGGGAAAAGUGAUGAUUGUAUUCGAUGAGAAAAUUACAAGAUCUAGGCUAUGAUGAUGAUCUUAACUAAAACUAUGCUUGAGCCCUCAAACAUGAGAGGUUCACUAUCCAAAUUGUGAGAUUUUUUCUUUAAAUCCAAAAUCGAAAUUUAUGGGUUUGGUAAAAUUAGGGUUUAUGAAAUUUGGGGAUUUUGAAUUUUGUGUUUAGAAGAAGAUGGAAGUGAAAAUAUUUAAGGAAUUUGAAGGUUUAUUUGGAUGGACAAUUUUUUUGAUUUAAGGAAGAAGAUGAAGAUGAUGAAUAUGAGGAUGAAAUGUUUAUAGGAUUUAUGAAUUUAUUUAUUAAAAAGUAUUUUAUAAAACAAAGUUAUUAAUAAAAUUAAAAUUUUCAUGUUUUUUUAAUAGAAAAAUUAACUUG
rnacentral:lncRNA from 1 species